CCCUCACUCGGGCCGGCACCGGGCGGCGUGCGGGGCUCAGCGCGGCCGCCCCGCGCCCCCCCGGCCCCGCAGCUGCGCCCGUCCGUCAGCGCCGCCCCCCCGGGCGCGGCCGCCGGGCGCUGCCCCUUUAAGGCAGCGCAGCCCCGCGCGCAUUCCAGCGGCCGCGUCACCGUUCCGGGAAGCGGGUGGCGUCAUCCCGCCAUCCCUCCCGCCGGCCAUCCCGCGGCGGCGGGGCGGGCCCUGGGGAACAAAGGCGGGAUAAAAAUAGAAGCUGCCAAGUCCGUCUCUCAAGAGCAGCCUGAGGAUGUUCCGUAGCCUUGGUGGUCGUGGACUCUCUGUGAAGAAAGACUGAAGCCUGGGACUGUUUACACUCUCCUGCUGCAGCUGGCCUUGUCUUUUUUCUAAGAAUCAGAUAAUGUGAAAGGAUAUUGGGCCACAUGUGUAAGCUUUUAAUAGUAGUAUUUGGUAGACAAGGCUUACACUCUUUACUGUAGCUCUUUGUAUUUCAGUACUGAGUAUUAAAAAGCUACUGCGUCCUCUUUGAUCCCUUC